rnacentral:tRNA from 1 species
GGGCGAUUAGCUCAGCGGUAGAGCACACCCUUCACACGGGUGGGGUCAUAGGUUCGAUCCCUAUAUCGCCCACCA